UGAACAAGCAAAAUGAACACCACGCAGCUAACAUUUCCUUCCCUUACAAUGAUAAGUCUACAACCAAAUUGAUCAUACAUUUAUUUCUUAUGGGCAUAAUCAAAGCAAGCUAGCUCAAUGAGAACUCAAAGGCUGCAAUGACAGAAUAUAACUUGUCAAUCUUUCUAGAGAUUCAUAUGAAGAACCUCCUUGUUUCAGGCAAUGCUCCACCUUCUCCUUCAAAGUCAUUAUUCUCUUUCUCAUUUCCUGUCCCUCUGCUUCAACCAGUAGUCUUUUAAUAGCUCUCUCUAUCACCCCUCGUUCUAGUUUAUACUCUAAAUGCAACCCAAUUCUCCA
rnacentral:misc_RNA from 1 species